UACGGGGGGGGCAAGCGUUGUUCGGAAUUACUGGGCGUAAAGGGCUCGUAGGCGGCCAACUAAGUCAGACGUGAAAUCCCUCGGCUUAACCGGGGAACUGCGUCUGAUACUGGAUGGCUUGAGAUUGGGAGAGGGAUGCGGAAUUCCAGGUGUAGCGGUGAAAUGCGUAGAUAUCUGGAGGAACACCGGUGGCGAAGGCGGCAUCCUGGACCAACACUGGCGCUGAGGAGCGAAAGCCAGGGGAGCAAACGGG
rnacentral:rRNA from 1 species